GCCAGGUGCAGUGGCGGGCACCUGUAAUCCCAGCUACUCCAGAGGCUGAGGCAGGAGAAUCGCUUGAAUCCGGGAGGUGGAGGUUGCAGUGAGCCGAGAUCGGGCCACUGCACUCUAGCCUGGGUGACAGAGCAAGACCCUGCCUCAA
rnacentral:SRP_RNA from 1 species